rnacentral:rRNA from 1 species
CCCUUAGAUGUUCUGGGCCGCACGCGCGCUACACUGAUUCAUGCAACAAGUUUUGUCCUUGGCUGAUAGGCCUGGGUAAUCUUUGAACGUGAAUCGUGAUGGGGAUAGAUGAUUGCAAUUAUUCAUCUUCAACGAGGAAUUCCUAGUAAACGCAAGUCAUCAGCUUGCAUUGAUUACGUCCCUGCCCUUUGUACACACCGCCCGUCGCACCUACCGAUUGAAUGGUCCGGUGAAAUCUUCGGAUCUGAGAGAUGUCUGAUUAAUUUCGGACGCCUUUUGGAAAAGUUGCUUAAACCUUACCAUUUAGAGGAAGGCGAAGUCGUAACA